UACGGGGGGGGCAAGCGUUGUUCGGAAUUACUGGGCGUAAAGGGCCAGUAGGCGGCCAACUAAGUCCGACGUGAAAUCCCCAGGCUUAACCUGGGAACUGCGUCGGAUACUGGAUGGCUUGAAUUCGGGAGAGGGAUGCAGAAUUCCAGGUGAUAGCGGUGAAAUGCGUAGAUAUCUGGAGGAAUACCGGUGGCGAAGGCGGCAUCCUGGACCGACAUUGACGCUGAACGGCGAAAGCUAGGGGAGCAAACGGG
rnacentral:rRNA from 1 species